rnacentral:rRNA from 1 species
ACGCUAGCUACAGGCUUAACACAUGCAAGUCGAGGGGAAACGGCAUUUAGUGCUUGCACCGAAUGGACGUCGACCGGCGCACGGGUGAGUAACGCGUAUCCAACCUACCCAUUACUGUGGGAUAACCUGCCGAAAGGCAGACUAAUACCGCAUAGUCUUCGAUGACGGCAUCAGAUUUGAAGUAAAGAUUUAUCGGUAAUGGAUGGGGAUGCGUCUGAUUAGCUUGUUGGCGGGGUAACGGCCCACCAAGGCGACGAUCAGUAGGGGUUCUGAGAGGAAGGUCCCCCACAUUGGAACUGAGACACGGUCCAAACUCCUACGGGAGGCAGCAGUGAGGAAUAUUGGUCAAUGGACGAGAGUCUGAACCAGCCAAGUAGCGUGCAGGAUGACGGCCCUAUGGGUUGUAAACUGCUUUUGUAUGGGGAUAAAGUCAAUCACGUGUGAUUGUUUGCAGGUACCAUACGAAUAAGGACCGGCUAAUUCCGUGCCAGCAGCCGCGGUAAUACGGAAGGUCCGGGCGUUAUCCGGAUUUAUUGGGUUUAAAGGGAGCGUAGGCCGGAGAUUAAGUGUGUUGUGAAAUGUAGACGCUCAACGUCUGACUUGCAGCGCAUACUGGUUUCCUUGAGUACGCACAACGUUGGCGGAAUUCGUCGUGUAGCGGUGAAAUGCUUAGAUAUGACGAAGAACUCCGAUUGCGAAGGCAGCUGACGGGAGCGCAACUGACGCUUAAGCUCGAAGGUGCGGGUAUCGAACAGGAUUAGAUACCCUGGUAGUCCGCACAGUAAACGAUGGAUGCCCGCUGUUGGUACCUGGUAUCAGCGGCUAAGCGAAAGCAUUAAGCAUCCCACCUGGGGAGUACGCCGGCAACGGUGAAACUCAAAGGAAUUGACGGGGGCCCGCACAAGCGGAGG